rnacentral:rRNA from 1 species
GACGAACGCUGGCGGCGCGCCUAACACAUGCAAGUCGAACGGUGACGAAGGAGCUUGCUCCUUCUGAUCAGUGGCGGACGGGUGAGUAACACGUGAGCAACCUGGCUCUAAGAGGGGGACAACAGUUGGAAACGACUGCUAAUACCGCAUAACAUAUACUUUAGGCAUCUUUAGUAUAUCAAAGAUUUUAUCGCUUAGAGAUGGGCUCGCGUCUGAUUAGAUAGUUGGCGGGGUAACGGCCCACCAAGUCGACGAUCAGUAGCCGGACUGAGAGGUUGAUCGGCCACAUUGGGACUGAGACACGGCCCAGACUCCUACGGGAGGCAGCAGUGGGGGAUAUUGCACAAUGGGCGAAAGCCUGAUGCAGCGACGCCGCGUGAGGGAAGACGGUUUUCGGAUUGUAAACCUCUGUCUUCGGGGACGAAAAUGACGGUACCCGAGGAGGAAGCCAACGGCUAACUACGUG